UACGGAGGGUGCAAGCGUUAUCCGGAUUCACUGGGUUUAAAGGGUGCGUAGGCGGGCAGGUAAGUCCGUGGUGAAAUCUCUGAGCUUAACUCAGAAACUGCCAUGGAUACUAUUUGUCUUGAAUAUUGUGGAGGUAAGCGGAAUAUGUCAUGUAGCGGUGAAAUGCUUAGAUAUGACAUAGAACACCGAUUGCGAAGGCAGCUAACGAAACUAUAACUGACACUGAGGCUCGAAAGUGCGGGGAUCAAACAGG
rnacentral:rRNA from 1 species